GAUCAGGAAAAAGCAGAAAUUUUAAAUAACGUUUUCUUCAAUAUAUAUUAAUGAGGAUCUUAUGGCAAGGGAAAUGCAAAUGAUUGCUGCAAAAAACUCGAGACAAGGUGCUACAGCUAUUAAAGAAAAUUAAUGUAAAUAAAGCUCCGGAGCCUGACGGUAUUCACCCACAAGUACUUAAGGAGCUAAGUGUGGAAAUAAGUGAACCUCUGUAUUUAAUUUUUCAAGAUUCUUUUGUUUCAGGUGUUGCACCGGAGGAUUGGAG